rnacentral:rRNA from 1 species
UACGUAGGGGGCAAGCGUUAUCCGGAUUUACUGGGUGUAAAGGGGGCGCAGACGGCGAUGCAAGCCAGGAGUGAAAGCCCGGGGCCCAACCCCGGGACUGCUCUUGGAACUGCGUGGCUGGAGUGCAGGAGGGGCAGGCGGAAUUCCUGGUGUAGCGGUGAAAUGCGUAGGUAUCAGGAGGAACACCGGUGGCGAAGGCGGCCUGCUGGACUGCAACUGACGUUGAGGCCCGAAAGCGUGGGGAGCAAACGGG